CCUGCCUCUAGAAGCAUUGAAGGUGUGGUUGCUUUGUCACAUGCGCAUCAGUAGGGCAGCAGAGAGCAGAGAGGCAAUGUCUGUGCUCAGUGUUCUGACCUAAGAACAUCUGAGUGAUUAAUUACUAGCCUAGCACC